GAUAGAGUCAGCUAAUGAAGCUCUCGGGCCCAUACCCCGAAAAUGACGGUUAGACCCCCUCCUCUAUCA
rnacentral:tRNA from 1 species